UUGGAUAUUAUUGCCCCGGAGUCGAUCUUGAUGCAUGUUGUGGCAUAUCAACAAAAAUGGGAAAUUGUGCAUGUGACACGGGAGGCAAGCUAGAAAGAUAUUCCAGAUUAUCAGUGGGAAUUGGAGGAGGCGGCAACCCAUUAGUCCAAGCUCGAUACAUUUCUAUUAUUUGCCGCCUUAAUUUCUGAAUCUCUUCAUUAUCUCCUACAUUCUCAUUCCCCGAACUCCCUAUCUGAUUAGUGACAACUAACUCGGUAUCCUUGUUGGCCAU
rnacentral:lncRNA from 1 species